UACAGAGGGUGCGAGCGUUAAUCGGAAUUACUGGGCGUAAAGCGUGCGUAGACGGUUGCGUAAGUCAGAUGUGAAAGCCCCGGGCUCAACCUGGGAAUUGCAUUUGAGACUGCGUAGCUAGGGUGCGGAAGAGGGAAGCGGAAUUUCCGGUGUAGCGGUGAAAUGCGUAGAUAUCGGAAGGAACACCAGUGGCGAAAGCGGCUUCCUGGUCCAGCACCGACGUUCAGGCACGAAAGCGUGGGGAGCAAACAGG
rnacentral:rRNA from 1 species